AUCCAUCUGACGAGUCUCAAACAGGGCGAGAUGAGCGUUGUGGAU
rnacentral:hammerhead_ribozyme from 1 species